UGAUUCUAUGGUUGGUCCGUCCAGUCCACCUAUCAAAAUGCUUGGUGGGUUCGCCAAUGCGAUGGUGACUUCUGAGCUCGACUGGUGGCUCCGGCUAUAAUUCCUCACUCUGCCACAUAAGUAACAACCAAGUCCAAUUAUGCACAUAAGUGCUGGUAUUCCAACCCCUAUUAUUAUGCCAUAUUUUGCGCUCCUUGGGAGACCACGGUCAUUGCUUGGUAGAUCAAAGCAUCCAAUAUCAAGACUCCCAGCAUC
rnacentral:misc_RNA from 1 species